CACAUUACGCGAAACCCACAGCCUUUCGCGAUACACAGCUCGAAACGCUCUAGUUUAUUUAUAUAGCCCCUCCACCCUCGGCUCUUCCCACCAGUCCCCAAAUUCCCUAGAAAUCCAGCUAAGGCGUGGGGAAGAGGAGAAAGCAGUUUUGGAGGGGAGGGAGUUAUUUAUUUUUGUUUUGUUUGGGGAUUGUUUUGCUUUGUUGAUUUUUUUUCUUUGCAUACAAAAAUAAGUGAAGAAGAUUUUGCAAGGUGAGGCCGCACCGUCGAGGCCGGAGGCGGCUCGAGAGCAGCGGGGGCCGCAGGCAGAUUCCUCAGGACAGAUAUCUUCUGCAAGUCCUUUCAGAGGAGAUCUACCAGUGAGAUGUCCACAAUAGCAGAUUGAAAAGGAUGAUAAAAUAAAAUGGCAAGGACUAUGUGGAACCAAACAGCAACUACUGGCUGUCUUCUUGUAGAAAACCCUUGCACUGCUCAAGCAUCUCUACUCUAUUCCUCCCUUUUCUUCAUGCCCCCUAAGCCUGACUCCAUCCUGAAAUGGAGUCCAAAGUGGAGAAGUGGAUGAGGUGGAGGUACAGGCUAAGGUCUGCAGCUGGAACACAAGCCUGCCCAUCCUCAGAC
rnacentral:lncRNA from 1 species